AUCAACGCUGGCGGCGUGCCUCAGACAUGCAAGUCGAACGAUUAAGACUUCCUUCGGGAAGUGUAUAAAGUGGCGCACGGGUGAGUAACACGUAAGUAAUCUACCUUCGAGUGGGGAAUAACGUUCGGAAACGAACGCUAAUACCGCAUAAUGCAGCGGCAUCGCAAGAUGACAGUUGUUAAAGGAAUUUAUUUCGCUUGAAGAGGAGCUUGCGGCAGAUUAGCUAGUUGGUAAGGUAACGGCUUACCAAGGCUACGAUCUGUAUCCGGUCUAAGAGGACGGUCGGACACACUGACACUGAAUAACGGGUCAGACUCCUACGGGAGGCAGCAGUCGGGAAUUUUGGGCAAUGGGCGAAAGCCUGACCCAGCAACGCCGCGUGAAGGAUGAAGUAUUUCGGUAUGUAAACUUCGAAAGAAUGGGAAGAAUAAAUGACGGUACCAUUUAUAAGCUCCGGCUAACUACGU
rnacentral:rRNA from 1 species